rnacentral:lncRNA from 1 species
UGUGUCAUAAAAAAUCUAAUUAAUUUUAGCAUCAAAACAUAGGAGAUCUGGUUAAAAAAUUAUGGCAACACGUAAAAAUUAAGAUCCUUCUUUAAGAAGGACUUUUCCUUUCACACGCCAAAAAUAAAGGGGACGGCAUUAAUUUUUUGCAUGGAUUUUGGUGGGUGUAAAGGAGUUCUUCUCCACUUGAAACUAAUCUAAGUUAGAUAAGGAUCCAAUCCAAAUUGACCCAAUCCCAUUAGGUCAAAGGCAACUGGUCUAGGUUAUCUCAAACAAUUUGAUCUAAACCAAUUUGAGAACUUGGGUUAGUAUAAUGUGCUAGCAUAUCAAAUUAACC